rnacentral:rRNA from 1 species
UAAUACGGGGGGAGCGAGCGUUGUUCGGAUUUAUUGGGCGUAAAGGGCGUACAGGCGGUAGUGUAAGUCAGAUGUGAAAUGCCUCGGCUCAACCGGGGAUCUGCAUUUGAUACUGCAUUACUUGAGUACAGGAGAGGAGAGCGGAAUUCUAGGUGUAGCGGUGGAAUGUGUAGAUAUCUGGAAGAACACCAGUGGCGAAGGCGGCCCUCUGGCCUGAUACUGACGCUGACGCGCGAAAGCUAGGGGAGCAAACAGGAUUAGAUACCCUGGUAGUCCUAGCUGUAAACGUUGGGCACUAGGUGUUGGGGGUAUCGACCCCCUCAGUGCCGAAGCUAACGCAUUAAGUGCCCCGCCUGGGGAGUACGGCCGCAAGGCUG